CGGAGGAUGCAAGCGUUAUCCGGAUUUAUUGGGUUUAAAGGGUGCGUAGCGGAUAAAUAAGUCAGUGGUGAAAGCCUGCAGCUCAACUGUAGAAUUGCCAUUGAUACUGUUUAUCUUGAGUACAGCUGAGGUGGGCGGAAUAUGACAUGUAGCGGUGAAAUGCUUAGAUAUGUCAUAGAACACCGAUUGCGAAGGCAGCUCACUAAACUGUUACUGACGCUGAGGCACGAAAGCGUGGGGAGCAAACAGGAUUAGAUACCCUGGUAGUCCACGCCCUAAACUAUGAUCACUCGAUGUUGGCGAUACACUGUCAGCGUCUAAGGGAAACCAUUAAGUGAUCCACCUGGGGAGUACGGUCGCAAGACUG
rnacentral:rRNA from 1 species